UAGCAAGCCACAAGCUGCACAGAUGCCCAAGAGGUUAUACAUUGCAGAUCCAAGGAUGGUGCUAAUGCCGAUAUCUCCCUUUGUGAUAAAUACACCUAUGAGCAAGGGACCUUUACUUUAGGGCCCCGAGCCACCACAUAAAACUCCGACUUCCACGGAACUUCUGUACUGGAGAUGCCUCAUGAAGAAACCAUACAGAAGCAGAGAUGCCUGACGUACCCUUAACUAUUUCAGCCCACAAAAUUUGAAUUUCCCCAUCUCAGACACCAGACAUGUGAAAGGGAGGAAGGUUUAAGAUAAUUCCAGCCUUCUGUCAUUGCAUGAGCGACCUCAAGCUGGUACUGCCAGCUGAGCCCAGUAAACCCUCAAAGCUGCCUCCCUAGUCCCAGAGACACAAAAAUAUUGAAAUUAGGCCAGUGAAAAAACCUACCAUGGCCUUCAAAUGUUCAAGUGAAAGGAAGAGUUGCGCAUCUCUCACUUGAAAUCAAAAGCUGGAAAUGAUUAAGCUUAGUGAGAAAAGCAUGUUGAAAGCAGGGAUAUGCCAAAAGGCAGGCCUCUUGUGGUCAAAUAGCUAGCCAAGUUGCAAAUGCAAAGGAAAGUUCUUGAAGGAAAUUACAAGUGCUACUCUAGUGAACACACAGAAGGUAAGAAUGUGAAAACCGUCUAAAUGCUGAUAUGGAGGAAAUUUCAAUAGUCUGGCUAGAAGAUCGAACCAGACGCUACAUUCCCUUAAGUCAAAACCUAAUCCACAAAGCGCCAACUCUCCUUAAUUCUAUGAAGGCUGAGAGAGAUGAGGAAGCUGUAGAAGAGUUUGAGGCUACCAGAGGUGGUUCAUGUGAUUUAAGGAAAAGCCAUCUCCAUGACAUAAAAGUGCAAGGUGAAGCAGCACAUACUGAUGUGGAAGCUGCAACAAGGUAUCCCGAAGAUUGAGCUAAUUAAUGAAGGUGGCUACACUAAACAGAUUUCCAGUGUAGACAAAACUGUUCUGUUGGAGGAAGAUGCCAUCUAAGACUUUCUUCAUAACUAGAGAGGAGAAGUCAAAGCCUGGCUUCAAGGCUUCAAGAACAGGUUGACUUUUGUUAAGAGCUCAUGCAGAUGGUGACUUGAAGUUGAAGCCAAUGCUCAUUGACCAUUCUGAAAAUCCUAGGGCCCUUAAGAAUGAUGCUAAAUCUACUUGGCCUGUGUUCACAGUUUACUGAAUAUUUUAUGCCCACUGUUAAGACCUGCUGCUCAGAAGAAAAGAUUCCUUUCAAAAUACAACUGCUCAUUGACAAUGCACCUGGUCACUCAAGAGCUCUGAUGGAGAUGU